UUAAGUGAAAAAGCUUAAAUGUGUUUGGGGGACGGUCAGACCCUUUGGAGCUUUAUCUCAUCAAAGUUUUAGGUUAUUUUUUUAUAACAAAAAUUUUGAUGAAAUUAUGUUGGGCGACAGAAAGUUAAAAAAUACCACUUUCUUUAAAAAAAACAUGAAUAUAUGGAAGAUUGAUCCCUAAGGAGGAAUUAAAAGACUAUAAGUUACCCUAGGGAUAACAGCUUAAUCUUUUUGGAGAGUUCUUAUCUAUAAAAAGGUUUGCAACCUCGAUGUUGGAUUAAGAAAUUAGCAAGGUGCAGAAGUUUUGUUGGAAAGUCUGUUCGACUUUUGAUUUCUUACAUGAUCUGAGUUCAGACCGGCGUAAGCCAGGUUGGUUUCUAUCCUCAAAUUU
rnacentral:ncRNA from 1 species